GACGGAGGAUGCAAGCGUUAUCCGGAAUUAUUGGGCGUAAAGCGUCUGCAGGUGGCAGUUCAAGUCUGCUGUCAAAGACCGGGGCUUAACUUCGGAAAGGCAGUGGAAACUGAACAGCUAGAGUAUGGUAGGGGCAGAGGGAAUUCCUGGUGUAGCGGUGAAAUGCGUAGAGAUCAGGAAGAACAUCGGUGGCGAAGGCGACUUACUGGACGAUUGUUGACGCUGAGGUGCGAAAGCGUGGGGAGCAAACAGG
rnacentral:rRNA from 1 species